rnacentral:rRNA from 1 species
CCUAACACAUGCAAGUCGAGCGGUAGAGAGGAGCUUGCUCCUCUUGAGAGCGGCGGACGGGUGAGUAAUGCCUAGGAAUCUGCCUGGUAGUGGGGGAUAACGUUCGGAAACGGACGCUAAUACCGCAUACGUCCUACGGGAGAAAGCAGGGGACCUUCGGGCCUUGCGCUAUCAGAUGAGCCUAGGUCGGAUUAGCUAGUUGGUGAGGUAAUGGCUCACCAAGGCGACGAUCCGUAACUGGUCUGAGAGGAUGAUCAGUCACACUGGAACUGAGACACGGUCCAGACUCCUACGGGAGGCAGCAGUGGGGAAUAUUGGACAAUGGGCGAAAGCCUGAUCCAGCCAUGCCGCGUGUGUGAAGAAGGUCUUCGGACUGUAAAGCACUUUAAGU